UUGAAACUGCCCCUAGAGGUGUCUCUCUGAAAAUCAGCAAUGUGGCAGAACAGGAACUUGAACCCAGCCUGGUGUCCGGGGUGCUCAGCUAGUGCUGCGAAUGCUGAUUUAUCCUUCCUGUCCUAACGCUGCGCUUAGUCCUGUCACUGCUGCCUUUGAUUUGGAAGGGCUAGUCUGAAUAGAAGGACUGUACUCGGGGAUAUGGAGCAAUUUUCCUCUUUUGCUGCUGUUCAUGUGAACUCAGGAAUCUGUGAAUUAUACCAGGACAUUUGAAUUCCCAUGCAAUCUUCUCUGAGAUAUCCCUUAUGCGAGUCUGCUAGAGGCAGUAGGAGCCACAAAGGACCUUCCUCAGAGGUGGAGAUUGCAGGGAGCAAGAGCCGGGUAUUGACUAACAUACUUGGAAGAAAGUAGCCAGAGAACACAAACCCUGUGAACUACUCUUUGAGUCUGCGUUGAUCUACGUGGGGAUCAGCCACAAACUAGCAAGUCAACGGGGUCACACAUUUUACAAGACGGGAAAAAAAAAGUAAAUAUUACUAAAUAGCUAUGAUGCCAUGGAAAGGGCAAAAGGUUAUGAACAUCAUUAGCUUGAGGGAAGAGUCACGUAUGCAGAGGGAUGGAAACACUUGGCUAAAAAGUGUGUGGGAUUCCAUGCCUGUGAUAUCAAAAUUCCCAAUACCAGCCAGCUUCCCUUUUCUGAACUCUUCAGAAAAUGCCUAAAUUUCCCAUAAAUAAAAAAGAAAAUCAAAAGGAAAAGAUGGGAAGUAGGAAAAGUUUUUGUUCUGGAGAACGGGGCUGCUGUUCAGUUGCAUGGACACAGCCUAGUCAGUGUGGGUUAACAUUUAAAGGCCCCAAAGAAGACCUCUUUUUUUCUUCUGAGUGUUUGAAUAAAUUUUUCUCUGGUAUUUUGGCUGGACCAAAUAAGAAGGCCUGUGCUGCUUUAAGAUGAAGGAAUGCAACCUCCACAAAUUCAUUUCUGUCCUGUUUACUGCCAGCUAUGAGUUUUAUUGUGUCUUUUUAAUCACCAAAUUCCUUAAUACUCUCUAUUUUAAGGAAAAGAUCUUGUGGCUUUAUUUGGUAGAUCUGCUCUGCCUGGGUAUGUCUCUGCUUGGAUUAGUAGUGAGGCCUAUUUCAUACAGUGUAUAUUGUAAAAUAUGCUGCUGUCUCUAUCUGCCUGCUCCCAAUCUGUGCAACCCUAGGAGGAGACCUUGGACAUUGCAGUUCCAUUUGUGUCCCUUGUCUCUUCUAAAUUUCAAUUCUCUUGUAGGAGCCUUGUGGAGAACUGCCCUACUUACUAAAUAGAAACAAGGGAUUUUGCAAAUUGCCUUUUUUUUUUUCUUUGGUUAUAGUGUGCUUGUUUGAAUGAAUUUGCCUUGGAUAACAUUAAAAGCUAGUGAAGGGUCUAUAGAAAGUGCUCUACCUACUGUAAGCUUUCCAUGUAAUGUGAAAAGGUUGUAGGUAGAAUGGCUUCAAAGAGGUAGCCUUUGAUGUCCCAAAUGUCACGUAAAUUUAUGCUUGUUCCCAUUUGAGCUUGUACAGGGAGAAGCAUCUGAAAAUGUUAAAAAUAUUUCUGAAUUUAUGGUAUUUAAGUGGAUAGGAGGUGCUGCUCUCUUAACAUGGAUGAACAUGCUGUGCCUCUCUUUACUGUCUAAGAAGAUGCUUCACUUUAUGGUGAUUUAUCCUGUUUAAUUAAUGUCACUUAUCAAUAUCCCACUCACUUGUUCUGGAAUUUCUCUGGCACUGACCAUUGCACUACAAUGCCAGUGAGCUUUGGCAAAAGGAAAAAAAAACAACAACAACAAAAAACAUAAAGUAACACCAGUUUUACAAAGCUUUAUAUCUGAAAGUCAUCCGUACUGCCAUGGCAGACACCUGCUGCCUGUGGUGGCACUGAGAACAGUUAUUUAACCCCCUGGCCCCUCGGGGCUGUUGGUUGGGACAGCUGCAGCGGGAAUUCCUCUUCAGGCAACCCAGCGGUGAAGACUGCCAAGGUUAAUCUCCUGUGUGCUAACCUACAGGGCCUCUGUGUGUGAGAAACAUGAAAGUGUGAUCACUUUCCAACGAAUGAUCUAAGGAAAAUUACAUAAAUGAAAAGACAGCAGAGUCCGGUCAUCUGUAGUUAUAAAUAACUUCUGUUGUUUGGUCAGCUGGAAUCACACAAACAUGCUAUUGUUAGGACUCACGAAUGUAUACAUACAGAUUUUGAAAUAGGAAUAAUGUAGAAAAUGAAAGGAGUAAUUAACCAGAUAAAUGCUUGACUACUUUCUUACUCUGUCAAUCUAAUAGAUAGGCAUAUAAAGAGUUACCCUGCUAUCAAUAUCUUGAGCCUAUAGCAUGCAAGAUUCCCAGCUUUGCCAGUGGGAAGUGUGGCUUUGGCUGACUGACUUCCUACAGAAAAGCAUCAAACCAGGACUUCUGCAAAAGUUUCCAUCACAGGCCACCGGAUUAAGAUCAGACUAAAGAACUUGACCGUGCAGAUCUGAACCACUGGGACCAUUGCUGUGCAUGGAGAUAACCAAAAAAGGGAGGCACAGAGCUCUCUGUCUGCAGUACUGCUGAGUGAUUGCCACAGUGUUAUGGAUCCCAGUUCCUCUGGAACCCAAGAGAAACUCCUUUUCGUACUACUACACUGACUUCUCAAAGGAAGUUUUAGAAGUGCUUCAUAAGCAUAAAUUAAUUCAGCCAAACAGCCUUUCUGUGAUGUGGGAAACUGUGAUGCUUAGCUGACACCACUUACUUGACUUGCUUAAUAUUACAAACUGCAUCAGUGAUGCAGGUAAGAACCAAACUCAGGAUCCCUAUUCCUGUCCCAAUUGCCUUGCAGAGUAAAUGCACACAAGGCAAACUCCCAAUACUCAAUGAGAACAAGAACAAGUGGCUGGAUUGCAGGUAGUGCACCUUUGCAUAAUAGUGCAAAAGCAGUUCCUUGUAUAAAUUCCUCCUACCCCUUCAAAAACUAGCUUUAAUGAGGGGAAAAUGCUCUAAAAGCUCUCAUAAACAUGGUGCAGAUCCUUUCCUGCCUGCUGUGGGUUUAUUUAUUUAUUUAUUAUAUAUAUAUAUAUAUAUAUAUUAAUUUUUACAUUUACAUUUAUUUAACAUUCAGAAUCUGAAUUCUGACUUAGGUAGCUAGGUUAGCUGACUAGUCUUUAGGUUUGGUUCCCUCUGGAGUACCAACAGACAGGUGCGUACCUAGGAGGUUAUUCCAGAGAAUGAUUCAGAACAGAAGUCAGGUGCUCAGAUUGGAGGUGAGUGCCUGAAGCCUUGACAAACUCUUGUUCUCUGAUUGCAAUAGGUGGAGCUGGAAUUCAUCUGACAAUACAGUAUAAAAGAAGUGAAAUACAUAUGACAAAGACUGACAGGUGAUUAUGCCUGUGACAUACUUGUACAACUAUGAGGGUUCUAAGCAGUAGGAAUAAAUGUAGAAAUAUCUAUGUCACAGGCAACUGUCUGGUUCAAUACCCUGCACCGAACACAACUCAGAAAGUGUACAUUACUUUUUGAGGGCUGAUUAAAAUUGUCAGUUUUGCACUAGUAAUGGGGCAACCUGUUGUCGUUUGCCCCACCCCUCCACCCCUCCAUCCACCUGACAUAAAAACUGCUGCCAGACAGUAGAUUUGCCAGUCAGGGAGGCUGAAUACGUGUGAACAUUAUCUGAGGUAUCUUGGAUAUCUUUUCUAAAGACAAGACAAUGACAUUUCUCUGCACAAGUUCAAACAUGACUCUUUCCCGUGUUGCAAAGAACUGUCAAAUUGAAGAACAGGUACAGUGAAAGCACUUCUUUCCCAAACUAUUCAAAUGAGCAUCACCUUACAUAAACAGAACCUGGCUAAGGGUUGCAUGAAAGAUUUGUCAUAGCAAGAAGUAAUAUUUGAAUGAUAAUAUCUCUAAAUUUAUUCAUUAUUUAAAGUUACUCUUUUACAUAGACCUAGAGGAGUCUUUCCCAGGUAACCCCUGAGAUAAAGUUAUCGGAAUCUGGCUCUCAUCUUCACAGCAUCCUGCUGUAAAUAAUGCCUUUGCACAUGGUAUCUCCUACCAGUGGUGAUUGCAGUAACUCUUUGGCUCCCAGCAGAAGUAGUUGGGGGUGUGGUAAAGCCAGGAUGCAGCGAACAUGAUUCAUACAAAAAACCUCAGACCUUGGACUGGUUGUAAGGGAUUCCCACGUUUAUUAUGUGGGAAAGUGUUGAACAUAUUGUAUAAAUUAUACAAUGGAGCUGAAAGAUUGGGAUUUCCCUGUGUUAGUCAGUUGAUUACUACAUAGGAUUUAGGCCAUCAUUAGAAGAAAAUAAAAAUCUGUCUUGUUAUAGACAGCAAGUCAUCAUUCAGAACACUUUUUAAUUAAAAGAAUCCUGGAGAAAUUAGAUGGUGAUGCAGAAAUUGGUGCAACAAUUUAUUUGCUUUUGCAAACAACCACAACUUCUACAAUGAAAUGGCUUGAUACUUACUUUUUUUUUUUUUUUGCUUGAAAGCAGCAUCUCUCUAGCAAUUCAGUUAUAUUACAAAAGACAUGACCUUUUUUUGUGGUAUUAAGGGCAUUUAUGUUGUCUGGCUGGGGCUACUUCAGUGAUUUGCUAAGGUGCAGUUUGGAGGAACCCAGAUUCCUCAUAUGGCCAACGUACAGAAAACAGGCAUGAUUCAGAGAAGCCAAGCUAAAUGCCUAAAGUUUGAAGGAGAUGGUGUGAAUACCACCUGGGCUUGUACUCUGAACCUAAUUUUUCAGUAAUUUGUAGUUUUACUGCAAAAUUUCUCUUGGAGCUCAAACUUCGCACACAUGAAGUCAAAGAGACUUGUAACAGCCACCAAUUUGUAACAGCUGAGGAUCUGGCCCAGGUUCUGUAAUUUUAUUUUUAAUAGCUAUUUGGAAGAGAUUAUUUUACAACUUGCUCUAGUAUGUACGUUCCCAGUAGACUGCUCAGGUAAUUACUUGGGCUGCAGUUCAAAUAUUCCACAGUUUGAAAUAUACUAGUAGAAAAAUCUAUUUUUCUGGGUAUAGAAUAGUCACUUCUUUGGCAUGUGUAGCUAUUCCUUCGCAAACAAACCCAAGGUUUUAGGAGUACAAAUGAGUGAACAUGCAAAAAUUUUCAGUGUGUGUUUAGGGAUACAUUUGGAAAUUCAUACCUUUGCACAGCAAGAGUUUGGUACCUGGCAACACAUUAGUUUACACAGAACAAAAACGGAAGACAUGAUCAUGAAAAAGAAGUAUAACAUUGGAGUGAGGUCUUAUAUGUCAUCUUGAGUGCUGCUGAUUUUCUCAUUGGCAUAUUUAAAAGAUACUGCUUUUAUACCUGUGACUUUCUCUUACAUUCACAGGUCAGUAGGGGUUAGUUUAAAUUCCUGUGCUAUAUUUAUCUAGAUAUUUAUAUUAUGCAUUUCCAUGAUGAAUAAAAAAUUAAAGUUCUCUGAGCUACAAUGAAUUGAAGUGAUAUUUUAAAGAAGGUGUUCAAGGCUGAUAAUUUGGUGCUUUAAAGCGCCUCCCUGCAUAAAUGUGAAAUUAUUCUGAACUGGGCACAGUGGAUGCAUAGGAUAGCUUCAUAAGUUAACUUUCCCAGGUUAGAGUCCUGACAAACUGCCUCCGUUUGGAUUGUGAAAUGUAUUUGCUGGGUGUAUUUCUCAGCCCUGCUCCUGAUUUCCCAUGGAACCCUGCCCUUUAUAUUAGAGGUGAAUAAUUAGAUCACUGGCUUUAAUGUUAUUAUGCAGCUUGCCAAGGUUUGGUAUGCUAUCACUUGCUAGAAGGUGUUCUCGGUCAUCCCAACCAUUCUAAGGCAGGAUCAAGUCUUUAUUUUCCCUUGGGAAUCAACCUCAGGGUGGCGUCACUCAGUCAAUGCAUGACUUUUCUUUCAGGGCUUAACAAGCCUCACCAAAGACUAAAUGGUGUAUUGUAAAACCAGACCUGCAAAGUCUCACACACCUAACAAAUGAGUCCCACUCCUUUUUGCUUAAGGAAAAAUUAAAACAAAACAAAAAAUAAUAAAAAAAAAAAAGUUCUUGCCUAAAGGGAUUUCUCAGUGCUAUGAGAAAAAGAAUCAAGUCAAACAAAUAUCUUUCUCAUACCUAGAGACUCAGUGACAUUAUCUUUUGCAUGACACCAUAACUGUGCUUUGGUGGUAGUGAUUAAAUGGGGUUCAGCAGAAGUCUGUCUGAGAAGUUCUGUGUUUAAGAGAAAGGACCUUUUAAAGGACGGGUUAUUUGGCUUGCUAGCAAUUUCAAAAAAAACUGAAUAAAAAGGGUUUGGAUUAGAUUUAAGGAUAUUUUUUUUUACUAUUUUACUUAUUUUCCCUUUACACAAAAUAAUUGUGCAAAAUGGCUGCACACAACAUGACAUAUUUCAGCACCUCUAUUCUGAAAAGGGACUGUGACUGGAAAUUUUUUCUAGCUCCAGUUAGAACGACCUGGAUUUAAUACUGUCUCGGAAGGCAAGUUAGGCAUGGAUUUUUUGUACAUGUCAUGAUUUUACAUGCUAUAGGGCACAUAUGAGGGCUCUAGAGAGAAGAUUAAAUGGGCACCAAAGAAAUUUGCUGUGAUAUUGGGAGCAUGUUUCAAGUGAACAGCUGCUUCAAGUUACAAUAUCAGUGCUUUGUCUUUAUUCCACCUGCACACUCAUUUAAUCUAAAUAUACUAUAAUGAAUAUCCUCCUAACCUGAAGUAUUUAACCUCUAAGAACCCUUUGUAGGUACAGCAUUACCUUUUCAUUUCACACACAUAAACCUCUUUUCUCUCUAAUUGGGUCAUUCCCUCUCCUCCCAUAACCUCCACAAUCUGCAUGGGGGCAUCCAUUUUUAAAUAAUAAGACACAUAAUUAGCCAGUAAUAUGCUGAGGGUUAAUGAGUAGGUAUAAUCUUAUUAACCUAAUGGAAGCUACAGGUGUAACUAGUAAGCAGCCCUAGGCUUCCAAAGAGUGCAAAGGAGUUAUUGCUAUCUUUAAAUAAAAGUUAAAUAAACAUGAUUCGUAUCUCAUUUCUCUUCAUGUAACUUGGCAUUCCAGAAAGCUUUAUGAUUUUGGCUAAGAUAAUCAGUUACUGCAAGCAAAAGGCUAACAGGCUUGCCCUAUCUGAAAUUGUUAGCAAACCUGAUGGUGUUGAUAGACAUUUCCUAUAAGACCCUUAGAUAGUAUAUUUGCCUUCAGAUAUUGUAAUAUUUUGUUGUUGUUUUCUAAAAAUUUAAUUGGAAAAUUAAAUUUGGAAAAAUAUUUAUACAUUUCUAAUUCAAGAUCAUGGGAAAUAUUCUUGCUGUGUUUUAGUGCACUAAUAUAUUAGAGUGAAUGUGAUUUUCUGUGAAAUAAUGUAUAUGAUUGCUGUUAUCAUCAUGUAUAUUGUGUAUAGUAUUGUACUUAGUUGCUAUGAUCUUAGGGACCACUAGUCUGUAUACCAGUUUGGUUUGUAGGCAGCACUUUUUCUGGCCUUUCAAUGCAAUUAUUUACAUCCACAAAUAUGAGUGUUAAUGAAAAGCUGUUCUUUGUAAUUUCAAUUAACUCUUGAGCUUCUAAAUGAGAGUGACCUCAGACACAAACACUACACAUACAAGGUACUUACUCUUCAUAUUUGAGGCAUAUUUUUUAUAGAUAGGUUUUCAUGCUUGCUUUAAAAAAAAAAAUAAAAUUCUUUGCAGUUUCUUAAGUAAUUUGAUUGCAGUCAUUGACCAGAAUAUUUCCCUGUGAUAGCCAAAGGCACAGUAUGUUUAAAUGUUCAUUAACUUCCAUUAAUCAAUUAAAUAAAUUUCAUUAAGAUAUUAUUGAGUGAGGAGUUUGCAUUGUAUUACAAAAGGAUUCUUAGUCCUAGAUUUCUUUUCUUGGAAUGCCUCAGAGCUUUUUUUUGGUUCUAUUAUUGUUAAAUGCUACUUCAUUGGCAAUUAUAAUUUUUAUCAUGAAAAUACUGUGCAUUUAGCAGAUUUUUCAAUAGCAUCUCGCUUUUUUUUUUUCUUUUUUUAAGAAGCAGUGCAUAAUGUAGCAUGCUAGACCUUUGAUGUUCUCUGGAAAAUGAAUAGUUACUGGAGGGCAACUCCAUCUAGCCAUAGGUUACUCAGGUCUCGUGGGAGAAAAAUUAAGUCCCAUUCUGUCUGCUACCAGCUGGGAACGGGCGGCUUCCCUCCGUCUGCCUCCUCAACCUGUUUCACCUGCUCCCGUGCCAAUCCCCGUCCCUCCGAGAGGCCAUGGAGCAGGAGAUAGGAGGUGGAGCAGGGCAGCAGCCAGUGGAGCCCGAGGUCUGCUGGCAGGGCUCCCCAAAUUGCUCUAAGCACUGAAGCUGGCAAGGGGUGAGGGUGAAGCAGGUGAAAGGGUGUAGUCAUUAAAAAAAAAAAGAAAAAGGAAAAAAAAAAAAAGAAGGGACGGGUGGGAAAAGGGGUCAAGACAGUUAAUUUAUCAGGGAUGGUUAGAGAGAUGGUAUUCACAAGUAUAUUCUUCUGCCUUGAAGCUUAAUUGCUCAAUGAUGAAGAUACCCAUCCUUGAUUUCCAUGGAGUUGUCUGACAAUCCCAGCUAAAGUUUGCCAGAGAUCUCUGCUCAGUCAAUGACUGCCAGGACUUGUUCCUCUUUCUCAAACCUCCUUUGCUCUGUAUUUUGUUUUGUGUUCAAAUGUUGCUGUGUCUAGGCACAACAAAGUGACAUGGCAUUUUUCUGUUCCCAUCCCUGAUUUUUUUUUUGCAGCUGUACAUAUAGGACACAAUUGGUGUGCCUAUUUCACGACUGAAGAAGCAGAAGAGUUAAAAGCUGUAUUUUCAAAUGUGACCUCAGUAUCUGAAGAGCUAGAUUUCCAAAAAAAUUCAGGACAGGUGGAGAGCUCUCAGGUACAAUGAUGCCAAUGGAUGUUUUCCAAUGAAGUCAGGAAUAUAAGGCAGGAGGAGACCUCUAGGGCAACAGUUCUCUGCUGUCACAGGUGACCACACCACAGAGCAUUUUUGUGGACAAGUCCAACUCUAUCUAAAAGUUAUGACUAAAGCUUUGCUUUUCCUAUUGAGAAUUGUACCUGAACUUUCCUCCUAUCAUCUCUGAACAUAUUGACUUCAGAAGAGUCAUAGCUUUUCUUCUACAUUAUCAACUUCAGAGGGGAUGUACACCCACAGCUUUAAUUGAUGAUAUUUCCAAUGGGCUUAUUCCCAAAGGUGACAAGAUCAAAAGCAAAUCCCCUUGCGAUCAUUACCGAUAGUUUAAACUAAAAACUGUUCCGAUCAAGAAUCAGCCCAUGUUAGAAAAUGUAUUGCAUUACUGAUGUCUCCUGUGCCUUGAUACAAAUUCAGAACCCGUAAGAUUAAAGUCUUAAAAGAAAGAGGCAUCAUGCAUAUAUGAUUUUGACCAAUAAGAACCUAUGCCGUUGACAUUAUCAUUCAAUAAAAUGUGCUGAGUUGAGGGAAAUGAAUGCAUUGUGCAAUGCCUGACAAUUAUCUCUUAAUAAUUAAUCCUUCUUUGUUUGUAAUCUCGUGAGAAAUAUUUUUUCAAGUGUGGCUGGAAGGAGCAUUUGGGUGAAUCCUUAUGGUCCUUAAGCCAUCUUAGUAUUUUAUUUUUUUUUUUUUAGUUUAAGGCCUUAAACCAAAUUUUCCAGGUAAUUUUUUUUUUUUUCUGUCUGUAAUCUUAAAUCAUUGUAACGUAAAAGCUGGGUGAACAUUAAACAGAAAUCGCCUUCUAGCUAAAAAAUAGGACUAAUUAAUUUCCAUAGUUAGAAGCCUAGUUUGCCUCCCUUGGCUUUCUUUCUCCAUGAGUUCUGGUUUUGCAGUCUCAGCAGAUUUAUGUACUGCCUCAGGUUCAGCUUAGACUUUUGCUAACUUCACUUUUUAUUGGGCUUGUUGUUUAAUAUUAACAGAUGUACAAAUGAGCCAUUAUUGGGUUCUGAUCAUGAAAAUAUGCUGAUGCAGGUAACUAAUUUCCACACAUUCGUGUUUGCAGAGUCAAAUCUCUGCAGCCAUUAAACUCAGUGAGAACCAUCAGGACAGAGAAUACCCAUUAAUUUCUUUCAAUUAAAAGGCUUGAUUUUCAUUUUCCUUGAGAGUCAUUUGCAUAUUCCUAGACAAGGUAUAAAGGAAAAUAAAAUCUUUAGUGCGUCAUACUACUGCUUUAUUACUCCUACAAUAAUAAAGAUUAAAUUUAAAAUUUAUCCUGCAAAAUUGUCUGCAAGCUUCAGUUUAAAGCAAAAGCAACUUGACUGACACUCCCUUUCUACAACAGCUUUUCUUAACAGUCAUCUUAUUAUUUUUUUUUUAAACCUAGCUAUGUUUUUGAUAAAUGUUAUGGUACAAAAAAUAGGCAAUACUGUUGCUAAAAGCCAUCUAACUGUAUUUUCUGCUCAGAGGUUUUUCCCUGGGAAUUUUCCUCAAACUUAGGAUUUGGUGUGGCAAGUUCCUUCCUAUCUGACAGGAGCUAAGCAUUCUCAGUCCUUUUCUGGAGACAGCUGGCUCUUCAAGGAACAGGUUCUCAAGCAGAAUAGUUGUCUCAGGUCCUGGUACGUGAUCACCAAAAUGAGCAUCGCUUAGUUUUAUUUUCUUGUCAAAUGACCCAGUGAAAGUUAGCCAUAGCUUUCCCACAAGAAAAUUGCUAGUUUUCUCCUCAGUCUUUAUUAGAUUUCAUUAUAGAUUCAAGAGAGAGUAGUGUCAAACAGCUGACAAUUUUUUAUUUAACAAAACUGACAGGAGUUAGGUGGCACGGAACUGAUUAAUAACAAGAACUCUGGAACAGAUAAUUUAUUUAAGAGCAGUACAAAAAACAAUUAAAAAAGCAUUAAGACAUGUUUUCAGUGGUUAUAGAUCUGCUUUUCUCUGGGACCAUCAAAGUUGUUAAUCUGAGUGUCUUCCAACAUCUCUAUGAGACACAAAUUUGUGUUUACUAUCGUGAUUAGUGUACAGGGAAGCCAAGCCUCCUACUUUCAAAGUGGCCUCUAAUUUUGGUUCACACCAUUACAGUUCACUAGCUUCAGACAAAUAAGGCUUGAUUAUCAGUACUACUGAAUAAGGCCUGCCUAAAAUACUGGAAAGGAGAAAUUACAGAAUUUUGCAAUAAUUUUUUUUCUCUCGCUUGCUCCAAAAAAUGGAUCAUUUAAAUUGGUAUAUGAAGUCCAAUCUCUACUUUCUCUAUGUCUCCAACAAUACAAAAUCAGAUUUUUUGAUGUAUUAAGAUUAGUAUUGUAUGUUUGGUCUCCCUUAUUUUUAAUUUUUUCUGGUGGAUAUUUCUUACACUGAUUUUGGAAAACUUGGACUCUUUUUCUGUCCAAAAUAAUCAUUUGCAACAAACCUUUCUUCUAGUGUAAUAUGUGUAGCAUUUUUGGGAAUGUUAGCAGUUUCUCUCUGAACAAUAGGAAGACUGUGUCUUAGACAGCUCUGGAAAGGAUUUAGAGGUCAAAGAAGACAAGUCACUCAACAUGAGUUCCCAGUGAGAUGUUCUGGGAAAAGACUGAUGCGGUCCUUUGAUAUAUAAGAAGGGGAGUUGUGAGUAGCACAAGGAGGUGUUUUUACCUCUGUCUGACACUGGGGACAUUAACACUGAAAAUACUGCAUACUGUUCCUGUCUCUUAGCAGUGUUGUUGUAACUAUGGUGGUCCAGGGAUACAAGGAAGAUUUGUAGGAAAGGAUACUUUUUCUAAAAUUAUUAUUAAUUUUUUAAUUUUAUUUUUUUUUAUUGGACCAGCUAACAUACUUCGAAAAAUGUGGGAACACUGUUGGGCCUAUGGGCCCUUCAUCGCAUCAUGAUGUCUGCAUUAGGAAAAACUGGCAAUAGUACAGAAAAGAGAAAUAAAAAUGAGAACAACCCGGGAAAAAAAUACGACAGGGGAAGAAAGAGAAGUGACUUAAGGUGUUCAACAUAUUAAAAAGGAUACCAAGUGCAUUAAUGUCCAGCACAAAUUCUUGGUGCUAGUGGGUACUGUGAUUUGGAGACAAAAGUCACACUGAGGAGGAAAAGAAAGACAUAGUGAAGAAGAGAGCAACAAGUGCAAAUAAAUAAGAAAUAAGGCAAAAUGAUUUAGAAAAUAAAGAUGGAAGUAACCAUGCCAUGUGUAUGUGUGUGUGCAUGUACAUGUACAGGUGCCUCCAAUAACUUUUGAACUUGUUUCUCUGCAGCCACUCUUGGCAGGGGGGAGGGUCUGAAAAGCAAUUAUGUUUCUACAGGUUUUAUGAAAGUAAGUGGUCAAGAAUAUGUGAAAACUCUCUUAGAAGAAUCCUGACAGAGGCCUGUAAUGAUCUGAGGUACUGUCAGAGCUACAAUGUGAGUUGUCACAUUAGCAAGACACAGAGGAUCCACAAGGAGCUGGGGAAAAGACUUUGAAAAUGUUUCAUAUAUGGGAAGAAACUUUAAUCAGAGCUCACAGCUUGUUAGGCGUCGAAGUCAAUCAACCAUGAAACAUGAAUCCAUAGGGGACUAAGCUUUAUUAGUCCCAAGCCUACAUUAGUUGUGUAAUACUUAAGGUGAUUAGCUGUUGGGAUAAACUUCCAAGGGAGAAGGGGGUUUACCAUCUUUUGAAGUCUUUGGAUGUCUUUUUUGGAAGACAACGAAACACAAGUAAUUGGGUUAACAACAGAAAUAAGUGAAUGCAAUUGUAUGGCCUUUAUAAUAGAGAAGGGGAGGCUGGAUGAUCUAAUGAUUUCUUCUGGCCAUAAAAAUCUAUGAAUCCACGAAUUAUAAAUGCAAAGUAUCUCAGACGAGCCUUGUGAGGAAUUGGCAUGAUGUGAUUCAGCUAAUUAACUAUAUAGCUACUGCCAAACAUUUGUGUACGUCCAGGUGAAAGCAGCCCAGCUUGGCUACUGCCUUAACGUGCUCCACUCUAACAUCUUUCAUUGUUGUCACUGGAAUGUUAAUAGAUGGCGGCAGCACAACAGGGGUGAGGACGGACAACUGGGAAAAGUUUAAGAUAAUGUCAUCAGAACUGAGUGCUGUCACAGUAUAAUUGCCUCCUGCUGGUACCUAAAUGCAGAGGAACUCACGGAAAAUUAAACAUCAAGGCAUGUCCAUUUGCAAAGCUGGAGAUACGGGUCCUGUGGCAAUCUCCUGUUACAACGGGCUUAUUUCUGCUUUACUAAAUGGAUAUGGAAGCAGUGGACCAAUAUUUGCAACUUUUUUUUCCUAUGUGGUCGGAAGCCACGUGUACUUUCUUGUGUGCUUCAUUUAGACCGAGGAAUAUUGUCUACUAAAUGAUAGAUUUAAAAAUGUAGAUUCAGAAUGGAUUCUGAUUCUGCUGUUAAUUUUUCUCCUGCUUACGAUCUCCUCUAGCUUCUGGGUCAGGGGCACUUUCGAUGUCAGCUGCAGAAUAGGCAUUUUAAUUCAAAAGUACCUAUCAGUUUGGACAUGGCAGAAGCACUCCCCCAGCCAGCUACUGCCGCUUACUUAAUAGAUAAUAGGUUAAGAUGUCAGUCAGUUUGGGUUGUGUGUCCUUACAUAAGACAUACAGCACUGCAGAUCCAGGUAUUGUGCCAAAUGUUUAACAAAAAUAAACUUGGAGUUUCUCUGUAGACUUUAAAGGAAGUGAGACAAGGCUCUGAAUUUCCCCUUCUGUAUAGAAAAAAUGUAAUACUUUAUUGUGAGAAUUCGUUAGGACAUGCUAAAAGAAUACAGAGAAAAAGGUGAGAUUUACAUAUAUUCAUAUGACUCCAGCAACUAGUACUUCAAGAAAAAUACUGGUUAUUGUAAGAGCUGAACACAGGACGACCAUAAGAGUUAGCAAGGCUGCUUUACAAUUAAUAAUGCAUGACAGGUCCAGUAACUACCAACAGCUACUUGUUAUUCUUUUGUUAGCUAUAAAACCAUGUUACAUUUGGAUUUGGUUUUCAUAAAUAUCUAAGCUUGUGGGGAUCUGGAUUUGGAUUUUGGCUUGGAUUCAAUUAUAAUUUGGAUGUUAUUUAUCUGACUAGCUGAAGCCUCUUUAAUCUGUAUCAUUCAAUACAGGGCAGCCACCUAGCAUAAAUACUUCUGUGUGACUGAUGGCAUUUUGGUGAAAUGUUUUUAAUCCCUAAAUAUUUUUCAAGACUUGCCUAUACUCAUCCUUGAAUAAGUUCACUUUAAGCCAGCAAUUUCACCAAACUUCUUGAAAAGGUUUCCUGAGGAAAACACAUUUCUCUUUUAAUAGGUGUUUGACUUUCUUUUAAUCGACAAUGAAUGAUUUAAAAAAGUUGUCACAUGUAUGGUCACCUCCGAGAGAUAAUGCGGGAUUGAUUUCUCUGGUGCAUAUUUCUUCAUUCUUUCCAUAAAUUUUAGCUUAUUUGCUGCACUGGUGAGAAUGCUGUAUGGGUGAGCGCAUGGCUUUUCCACUUGUAUGAAUGCUGAGAAUAGAAAAUGCAGUCUUUAGGAUGCAGAGGGAUCAUUUAGGAAAAUGCAGGGCUGAUAGUGCUAAUCACGUGCAGAAAGAUCAGAGUGCUGGAGGUGAGCCUGACUCUGCAGAGGUGUGCUCAUUCAUAAACAUGAGAGGCACCUUUCACAUCGUGCUUAAUAGCAUUUUGUGUCAGAGGCAAUGGGGUUUAUUCUGCUAUGUUAUCCUGUCAGAUCUAGCACACUGAACAGGGCAGAACUGGCUUGAUAUCAGAGGCUGAGAGUUCUUGGAAAACACUUAAAAUAUUGCAAGAAGUAUUUUCAGUACAAAUCUCUCAGGUCUGAGAGGUGAUUUUAUCAGAUUUCCUGUACUUCCUCCUUUUCUCUUGUCCUGGCAAUAUAUAUUGCUGUCGUGCUAUAUCAAGAUAUAGAUAUCAUCAUGAAAUCAUCAUUACAUCUGUACCAGCCCUCCUGAACUGGUAAUGCAUGGAUGUCAGAGCUUAAAAUGGUACUAUUAGAGUUCCUGGAUUCUGAAUGAAUAUUGUACUGACCAUGUAUUUCUUUAAGUAUAGGGAUACUAAUCCUUUUUUCUUGGCAGAACUCCUCUUUGGAUAGUUUUAUUUACCCAUUUAAAAUCCCCCAUAAUUUCAUUUGAAAACAGAAUCGUAUUUAACUUUCUCUCCUGUUACACUGCAUACACCCUUGUUCCCAUCUAGAAACAAACCCUACAUUUUGGUGAUGGUGGAAUCAUUCUAAGACAGAAGUACUCUUUAAGUGGCAGUUUCAGGAAAGCACUUUGAAUAUUUUGAGGUUUAUCUGUAUAAAAGCUCCCCUUCCCCUAUUUUGAUUGUGUGCUUAAGUACAUUCACGAGAGCUUGGGCACAGAUCUAAAGCUAAAACGUGUGGACUGCUCUCCUGAAUACUGAUAUGUUCCUAGUGCUGGGCCUAAGCUUAUAAAUUGCAUUUGGAUUCUUAGAGAUGAAAGAACUGUUGUUCAUGUUUCAUUGUGUCUUCUCCUUUAUGAUAAAAGCCACACUACUGAAUAAUAAUAUAGACAUCUGUUAAUUUAUGUGGGCAUGUUAAGACGUAUGAGCUCCAACAAAACAAAAAGAUCAAUAAAAAUUUGGAAAUGAUGUGGAAAACAUAUCAGAAAGGAGUUUGUAUCAUAUACAGCUGGCCUGCCAUGUUCGGAAAAUUGCGUACAUUUAGGAAGUGCUAAUACAUGUAUUUUCAAGAAUGCUUAUUUAAAUCUACCUCUACCCCCCACCCUCCCUGCCCCCACCCAAGAAAAUUCUGAAAUCCUUCAAGCAAAAGCUUUGAAAUUGGACAAAUCGUUCUCACGGCCCCCAUCAAUAAAGCAGUGUUCUGGCUCUGCUUUAAGCAAAGUGCAGGAAGUUUAGAGCCCGAGCUGUGAGCGGAGGCCCUGUGACAUGGUGAGGUGUUGCAGCUGAUCCGCAUCAGACACCACAGCAAUGCCAGCGCCUGUGUCUCCACUGCCAGUGGCUCAUUAGCAAGGGGUGAGAGGACAGGCUACAAACAGAGAUUUGCCUUCGUGCCUUGGCAUUUUGACUUUCUGCGGCUCUGACGACCAGGGACUCAACAAUGUGCCAGGGAGGAUUAGAUUCGAUAUUAGGAAAAAAUUCUUCAUGGUAGGGGUUGUCAGGCAUUGGAACAGGCUGCCCAGGGAAGCGGUGGAGUCACCAUCCCUGGAGGUGUUUAAAAGGCAUUUAGACGAGGUUCUCAGGGACAUGGCUUAGUGCUAGAGUUAGGUUGGUUAUAGUUGGACUUGAUGAUACUGAGGGUCUCUUCGAGCCUAAAUGCUUCUAUGAUUCUAUGAAGGGAAGGGCAGUGCCCCUGAGCUGCCCCACAAGCUCAGCUACACUGCGCCAUGGCGGCAGCUGACAGGGCCGGCUGCAGCACUUCAGCCAAGCAAGUCAUUGAUAGAGAGUUGAAAGCAUUUAAUAGCCCUGUGCUAGAGAACAAGAUCAUUAUUACAGCAGAGCUGCAAAAAUAAAUACGGGAACGUAACCCAAAUUACCUCAUAAAAUGGAAGAAAACAGAGCGCUCGGUUUGCCCUGUUUGAAGUACUGGAGGAAGCCCCAGGGCCUGGCUCUUCCCUCACACCCACCGGGGCUGCUGGAGCCGGUGGUGUUUGGCCGAUUUAAAGGUGACUUGAGACCAAACAGGGCUUCUAAUGCGAGUGGACAUGACUGGGUUAAAUUAAUCUCGGAUGCAACUGCAGGGACUGGAAGUGGAUUAGGCUCCAGAUCACUUAGGCGCUGUGAGAGCCGGGGCACCGGGGGACUGAGCCCCGCAGGCAGCCCAGGGUGCAUAGCCGGCCGCGGGCUGCCAUGGCUUGGGCUGAGCGGAGCUGGGCUGGCCGGGCUGUGCUGCCUCGGCGCAGUUGGACUGGAUCACGCCUGACACCGGCAGAGAGGGAGCAGCCGCGGCUCCAGCCUGUCGGGCCGCUCGGCAGGUUGAUGGAUGUGCUGGGCUGCGAGCGAUCGCCACCCCGGCCAGUUCAGCCCAUCCACAAUGAGUUACAGUUUCCCGGUCUCCCUCCCGCCACCUCCUCCUCCACCCCUGCUUCCUCCUCACUGCUGCUUGGCCCGCAAAGCCCUGUCCUCGCACGGCGGUGCCUGCCGGGGUGGGCUGACAUCACCCCGCUGCGCAGCCCUGGGUGAGGGAGCAGCGCUAGCCUGACCUCUCUAACCAGGAGACAUUUUCCUCCGUGGUUGGACUGAGGUUUAACUAGAGCUGGGACGGGGGCCUGGCUAGUGAGCAGGACCCGUUGCCAUCCCGCCUCUCGCCUCUCUGCCCGAGGGAGCUCGCAGUGCAUCCAUUCUCCCAGGGAAAAUGUGCUCCAGCCCCACCGUGUUCCCACCAGCUUCUCUUUUCCUCUCCACGCAUCUGUUUUCGUUUUCUUCACGUUUAUACUUUAAAGAUGAUGUUUGCCCCUCCACAUCCCUUCUUUCUCCCCUUCUCCCACCCCCCUGCCCUUCCAAGGAAGAUGAAUUUCAUCUGCACCUUGAAACAGGGCAAGAAACAAAAAAUAUUUAUGGGUACCAGGGGAAGGUUGAACUGUAAACCACCACUUACCCCUACAUCUCUUAUGAAAGGAAUUAGCAUUGCAAAAUUUACAUGAGGAAAGAGAAAAAAAAAGAAGACGUGAGAGAAGCAUUUCUAUGAUGUGAAAAUGCUAUGCCUCAUACCCAUUGAAACUGGAGUGAACUGCUUCUUCACAGAGCCAAAUCUGGGGCACAGCCUUUUUACUGUAAUAGUCAAAUUAAAACAAAUGGCCAAAAUUAAACACUCCAGCCCUUGCUGAAUGUCAGAGUUCAAGUGAUGAGGAAAUAUGCUUGUAGCAGAUUGCUUUUCCUACAGUUUUAUUUGAAUGAAGUCUUAGGGUGUUUUUUUGAAACAGUUUUAAGUGUAUUCAGAGAUAUUGUACAGAUAAAGAUAUGUAAGAACAUAAAAAUACCAAUGUAUGCAGCCAAGCACAAACAGCUUAUAUGCCUCUAAAUCCAGAAGGGGCCAUAACAACAGAGUGUUCGGUACGGGUUGUUAGAAGCCCAUGCAAAGAUAAAACUCCAAUAAAAAGUACAUUCUUUUAUGUUCAACCUUAAACGAAAGGCAAUGUAAAAUGAGGAUUUAUGUUUGUGGGGGCAGGCAGAGGAAUACAGGCCCUUUAAUAAGCUGGUGCUACAGGAGCGGGAGCAAGCCCCAGCGGGGUUUCAAGAGCUUUCACUGGCAGCGGAGAGGGCCUGAGGGAACCCGGCUCUUUCAGAAUGAGGCUGAAGUGUUGGGGCUGGGCAAGGUGUAUAAGGAUGCUCAGCAUAUUGGCUGUUUCCUGGUAGAACACCUAGGCGUAAAGACCUAAUUUCUUCAUUUUUUCCUUUUUUCAUUUUCCCUGUUGAAGUCAGUUUCGGAGUUUGCUUCUAGUGACCUUUACCCUCUGGUUUUUCUUUGAGCAAGGGUGAUCCCCAAAGAGCCUUCAGACCAAAAUCAUGUUACUGUUGCCUUCAGUACAAGCAAGAUCAUGUUUUAGAAUUGCCCAUUCCGGUAUUACUGUAGACUUGCAGUAGCUGAUCACUGGUGCAGGAGUGCUUAGCUGUUAUAAGGAGAGCAAAAAAGGCUUUUUCUUUCCUGUGUUGGUAUCCCCAAUGGGACAGUACAUAACUGCUGGGGAUGGAAUAUUUGGUACUCUAGUGAACUUGGGCUAGUGGAUCCUAACAGAUAACAGACUGAAACUUGAAUUUUCUCUGACUGAGGCUGUAAAAUCUCUAUCUCUGUUGCUUUCUCAGAAGAGGUAGAAUUGGAAGAACCUCAGUUACUCGGUAGCUUUUCACCUGUGUGAAAAUGCAUCAUACUUAUAAGUUCUCCCAAAACCUUACUACAUUCUUGGUUUUUAUAUGCAUCUAGAUACCGUUUUCUUGCUUCUGCUGAAGGCCAACUGAACUGAAACACCAAAUAAGUCAAAUUUAAUUGUCUCAAUUUGAGAUUGAUAACAGCAUUUUCAGAAGAGAAUGGUUCACAAGGAAUUGCUGGCAAGGGUGUAGGACUUGAUAAUAUCAUGCUAAAAAAGACAGUGUGACAAGGUUUCUUUAUUCCUACACUUCUCUCCCAGAGACAGUCAGACUUGUCAUUUGUUCAGUGGGUUUACUAAAUUAGUUUUCCUCCUGAGUAUGAAAACAACUGGUAAAAUACACUCUUACACUGAGUCUCUGUAAAUCUUUUGAAGAAUGGAAGAGGAGAGGAGGUUUUGUUUUCUGUUUUGACACCAGCAUUUUUAUCCAGGUCACUUCUUCAGUACGAUAGGAUUCAACAAACCUGAUGAAAUGGAACUUCUGGAAAUGCAGUCCAUGGCAGAGAGCUGAAGCUGAUAUGGAUAUCAACAAAAAUCAUAAAUGACAAGUAAAUGUCAGAAUAGCUGUAGUACAAAAUUUUAUAAUUAAAUAUUUGUUCUCAGAGCUCUUAAAAAGUUCCUGAGUGUCUACUGGUACAUUUAAAAGCAGUUUUCCUAAAUUCAGGGCCAAUAGGUGUCGGACAACCCACUUACACGUUGGGUUUAUUUUGUUUCCCUCAGUAAUGUUCAUAUGAAUUUUUGAGGACUUCAAGGUAGCUUAGGAGACAAUGUAUGAGACUAUUGUAUGAGGACACCAGUUUUAGAGGUGACAUUUCUAAAUUCAGCAGCAGAGGGAGAAGAGGGUCUGACCGAAGAUGCAUGGUCUACCAACAUCCAUCUGCCUAGUGAUUUUGUUUAAGAGCACAAGUAUCACAGGAGAGGUUUUCAGUGAUAAUAAUCCAUUAAGUGGUGUAUCUUGAAGCUCAAAUGACUCCACUGAGCUUGGUCUACCACUAGAAUCAGCUGGUAGCCUGCAAGUGAAAUGGGGUGGAUGCUUUAAUGUUGUACCAGGAUUGGUGCACUGUGCCUGGUGCCCACUAGAAACUUAGUGCUCUGAUUCUGUCCUGCAUUUCUACAUAGGAAGUGCUGGUAAGAUGUCCACAAAAUGAAACAGAUUUUAUAUGGCACAUGGAAACUCUGCCCAGCAGUCUUUUCUUUGGGGUAAGGUGAUCUGGAGAAAGAUAGUAUGAAGAAUUGCCAUUUUUUUCCAGCUACAUGGGACCAUCUCUUUGGAUAAUUUUGGGGUUGUCAUUCCCAAACCGAGGCUUUCCAUGACACUGGAGGUUAACUGUGUGGAAAAAUUCAGCUCUAUCUCCAACUAUUCUGAUGCUAACUUUAAGAUCAUGGGACAAAAGCAAUAAAAUCAAUGAAAUCUCUCUAGAUUCAAAGAACUUUGAAUUAAGACAGAUUUAGUUUGAAGUAUCUGAGUAGUCUUGAGUUUAAGAGUGGUUGAAAUUUUAGUGCCAAGGCACAUUUGCAUAGAUAUAUUUAUAUAAUGUGUUAUAUGCCUAGUAAAAAUAAUGAAAUAGCAAUUUUUUAAUUUAUUUCUAAUAAAUAAUAUAUAGGAGUUUUAACUGGUGUGUUUAGUAUAAAACCAACUAAUUUCUGGUGCACAACUGGAUUUUAGAAAAUUGAAAAGAAUAAGCAUAAAGGAAAAUGAGUUUAAAAUAUAAUUUACAAUUUCAGGAAAAACAGUAAUCUCAUGGCAUAAGCGAAAAAUACUGGAAAAUGAAAUGGAUUUAAAGUUUCAAAUGUUUUUAUCAAGAUCAGGGAAGGUCAUGGAGAUUAAGGGAAAAUAAUUGCUGAAAAUGAAUGUAGCUUACUUAUGCAAGGUCUAAAAUAUAACAGCAGCUUUUAGUUAUGUAUAUAAGAGGAAUGGAGUCUGUUUGUAAUGAAAUGCCUCUGCUUAUGCUUUGAGAUAUGUAGAACUACAGGAGAAAAAAGUCCUGGACAGCUUGAUAUUGCAAAGAGAGAGGAUCCUUGUGCAAGUGUAGUUCUACAGGCAGCACAUCCUCACCUGUGUCACUACUUGUGUCUCAAUAAGACAUAGGGAACACUCCUGAUACGAAUAGUGCUUUUUGGAAAACAUAUUAAAAAGCUUCUUUGCAACUACUAGUCUUAAGUGUUCUGUAAUCGUUUCUCUGUCAGUAGAGUUAAUUUACUUUGAGUUGCCCUAAUCCCAGUUCUACCUGGGAUCCUUCUGUUAACCUAAUUAUCUCUGAACUCACAGGUUGGAUGUGGUAUUUUCCUCACUUUCCUGCUCUAAUCUGUUGGGUCAUGUUGCUGCACAUUAUUACACAUCUACUGCUGUCCACUGCAAAGAGGUUGUGUUUCAUGACUCGAGUCUUAAUUAGGGUUUACCAAAAUGUUUUUUCAGUCUUGGAAAGCAAAGUGCUAAGUUAUUACUAUAAUAAUAUCUACUGUUUAAUUACAUUUCAGCAAUGUCUGUAAUGUUUUGGGUAUGUUUUAGAAGCUCACCUUCUUAGGACUGAAAUCUCUGAAACUUUUAAUGUGAUUUAGAUCUUUGGUAGGUUAACAGUUCUAGAUGCAAGCUGCAGUCCUUUCCACCUUGUUGCACAUUGAUCCAGCCCACCCUUGUUAAGCCACAGAAUACUCUAGAGAAGCAGAGAACUCCCCUGUAUACAUUAGAUGAAGGGCUGAAAUGUGGGCACAAGUUAUGUGAUUUGUUCAAAGUUGUCCAGCAAUUUACUGGCAGAGGUGGAAGCAGAACCCAGGUGCACCAGCCUGGCCCUUCUGGCUGGUCUGCACAGAGAGGGCUGGAGCAUCCUGGAGCACUGCAGACGUUUUCAAUCUGGCAUCCAUGGGUGAAUUUUAAGAGAUUCACCAUAGAUAACUAAAAAAAGCCAGUGCGGGCACACAAAUGCAAUAGGCAAUGCGUGCCUGCCGUGACAGUGAUUAAUGCUCACAGAGUUGGAAACUAUUGGGAAUAAACGAGUUUUUAAAAUAGCUACCUUGGAUACUGGUAGCACUGUAUUCAUAAUGGCAUGGAGCUUAUUAUAAAUACUGAGUGUGGCAUCCGUAUGCUAGCCUGCUUCUCUCCUGUGCCACUGCCACCACUCAGGUAUUGCUACCAACCCUAGAACAUGAAGUGCGUGGCAAAUACUAGGCAAAAUUGUCACUGUGCCAUGCUGUGGCUUGCAAUGAAGCAAGAUUUGAAAGCUGAUUCCAUGGAUAAAGGAAAAAUAUUUUCAAGUGUUUUGGAUAAGAACCACAGCAUGAAAUCUGGGUGGAAGUUAGUCACAUCCUCACCUGAUAAGGAAGUUUUCUUCAGUAAAUGAGUUGUGAAAGCCUGCUUGCAAUUAGAUGGAGCAGCUCCAGGUUCUACAAGUACAUUUUCUGGGCCCUGAUUUGUUGUUACCAGAUUUGAUCAACGCCCCUCUAAGCACAGCAGCCAGGUAGGGAUCAGAUCCAAAGCACAUGCUGAGGGCUUUUAGUUCUGGAUAACAUCAAGUGGAUUGGACUUAGGUACUUCUGUGAAAGGGCUUGAUAUCCAGAUAGGAGAGGUCAUAAAAGCCAUAUGAAGGGAAAAAAGCCAGAGGACUGAGUUGGCUUGCAAGUGAGUUUCCAAGGUCAGGGCAUUUUAUUUAAAAAGCAAUUACAAAAUUUGUUACAAAUGCUGAGGGACCUAUGAAGGGAUUAAGCAAUCUUGUUAGUGGUACAAACCCUCUUAGGAGAGCAAAUCCACACAUAGGCUAAUGAGGCUUGUGUGACUGUAAUAUCUGAGCAGAGUGCAGAGUGACUCUUCCCCUGCAAACAAUGAUAGGAAAAAUGUUGCUUGGCUUUGAAGAGAGGCCCAUUGUGUUCAGUCAGAUGCAAAGGCAUCUUGUUUAGAUUCUUGAAGGAAGAGUCUCAGGCUGGGAGGCUGGCCGGGAGUCUGGGCAAAAAACAGUGGGGGAGGAGGCUGAGGAUGCAGACCGGGGCAAAACAUCAUUAAUGGUGAAAGCAGUAAAAGGGAGGAAAGCAGAAAGGGAGGAAAGGGAUCUAAAGAUAGGUAUAUCUUCAGGAAUAUGUUAAUGGAUGCAUGUGUAUGCCAUGCACAUGCAUAUGCUGUACUGAGCCCGAAAGCAGUGUAUUGCUGUUGAAUUACUCAAAGUAUGUAUCUAAAUCUUAGUUUCAAAAAUCACAGCUACACAUAUUUAUCUUGUGGUCUUGUAUGCAUGAUUAAAAUUGCCUUUCCUCCCCUGUGUGCAUGGUUUUCCUUGGUUUAUAGGCCAUGACACUGCCAUAAUUUUUAUUAAAUCUCCCUUUUGCUGUUGCUCAUCAUUUUCCAAAAUGCUAUGUUAGUUUUUACUUUUUCCACCAUUGAUCUUGGCUAAAAAGAGAGUAUUUUAAAAACUUGCAAAGCAUAUCACUGGACAGUAUGUGUAUUUUGAUCUCUAUGUACAUCUUUUCAUAGAUCUACACAUUUAUAUUGCUUUCUUUAUGGGGAUGGAAAGCAGAAUUGAGACAAAUAAAUAAAAACAAACAUGACAUUGCUAAUAAAAAUGACCAGGCCGUUGCUUCAGUGUCAGAAUGCAAUUAGAUCUGACCAGGGACUGGAAUUCACUUCUCAGCAGGCCUGCUUAAUGAUUAGUUUUAUUGUUUCUUCAUCACCCCUACUGGGGGGUUCAUUUUUACUGGUAAUGGAAAAAGACUGUUGCCCCUGGAAAAAAAGCUGGUCAUGAAAGACAAAGGGCUGAUUGAGGACUGCAAGGCUUUUAAGCCCACAUACCACCUCUUCUUUUGCUGUCCUGGCUGACAGCAGGAAAAACAGGGAAAGGGGUCAAAUCUUAAAGGGCCUUCAGAGUAAGGAGCAUCAUGCUGCACAGGGAAAUUAGCUGGAGAGGCUUUUAUAGCUUAGAGCUGUUCUGAUCACUGUUGUAAAACAAAUGGAAUGAGAAUCUUUGCAGCAAGAUAUUUCAGGUACCAGACAUUGCUAGUAUGACGAGUAUUGCGUCUGAGACAGUAAGCAGGGUUAGCAAUAUAACUGUGGUUUGCAAACACCUGCUCACCCUCACCAUCCCAGCAUGCAAGUACAAGUACACUUCUAGCAACAGCACGAAAUUUCCCAACGGCCGCAGCAGGUAAAGACUAGUUUAAAUCCUUGGCAAAACUUGUGUGCCGGCUGCUACCUGUUCGGAAGUGUUUCCAAAGGGGUUUAUUAUAAGCCCUGGCAUAAAUAAGAAUACAAAUAGUUCCUGUUUGUUUGCUUUAGUUAACUGGGUAUGUGAAACAUAUAGUGUGUGACUCACAAAGUUGUAGGAUCAGUCUGAGGCAGAAUUACAGACGUUGUGCUAUCUGAUUUUAUGAGAUGUAACAGGUGUCUGUGAAGGCAGCUUCCCCAUCUGGAAACACCGCUUCAGGGAAUUUAGGCUGCUGGUGGAGGAAAGGCUGGUUGGUUUGCACUAGUGAUGGUAGUUGAACUACUGGCGGAGUGGAACUGGUGGUUUCUUCAGCUGAGCACCUAUAGGCUGAGGUGCAUGUUGAAACCACAGUGACUACAUGUCUGAGUUCGCAAAAGCUUCAUGACAAAAGAUACAAAGCUGAGAGAGUCUUGCCAAAGACCAAUAACACUGCUCCCUCCCUACACGAGUUCAGACAGACAGAUAAAAAAUAAAAUAAAGCUUUUAGAAAAUCUUGAUACUAUAAGUACAAGACUAUCCACUGGUGUCAAUGGAAUGAGCCUUUAAUGUUUAAUAGUGUAAUAAAUCACUUAAUAAUGAACAUCCAUUUUUUAUGAUAGAAUCUAGAACACAGCAAGUGAAGAGGGAGUUAAAAUUACACAGUAUGCAUGUAAAAACAAUAUGGUCAGCUGUGAGCCUCAGGUUUGCUCUCAAAUGAACUGGAAAUAACAGUGGCCUUUAAAAUGGACUAAAUUCUGAAAUUAAUCAGAAGCAUAGGACCUGAAAUUCGAACAAACCAGGGACAUACUGGUGUCUGCAGUGUGUGUAUUCAUCUAAGAGAAGGGUCUCCAGUAAAACAUUCUCAAGAUCUAUUCCAAGUUGGUAAUUAUGCCCCAAAUGUUCCUAAUUUUUAUAGAUAUUCAGCUCUUAUAGGUUAUUAUCAUGGUGUCAGUCAGGGCCCAUACUCUGCAUGUACUGGCACAUCCAUGUCACUUGGUAUCCCCAGGCUGUGUGAAAUUCACCUCCCCAGCCUGCCGAUGAGUUUCAAAUAAUCAGAUUUGGAGUGAAACAGCUGGAAGGGCUGGCAGGAGCUGGAGAUCGGCAUCGAGCCUUGUGGCAAAUUCUUGACAGCCCUUCUGUGGUUUCUUCUGUGUCCUGCAGGCAGCACCAUGGCCACUGUGCUGGCUCCUCCUUGCAAUGCAUUGAAGCAAAGGAGUCCCCACCAGGCAGGAUGCAGUAGGGCACCCCUCUGCCCUUCCUCUUCUGCCAGGGUUUGGGCUUUGGGAGGACCUCUGUGCUUUUCCCUUCAGGUCAUCUGCUCAAGAGUCUGGACAAUCACUCCUUGCUUUUGAUUUGGAGGCUGCCCAGGAAGAACAGAGAGCACACGUCCUUCUUGAGUGGAUUGUGCAAGACUUAGAUCCAAAUGCUGUUGGCACAGAGAUUUGACAAGCUAUCAGUGCACAGCCACAGCCAAAGAGACUUCUCGUAGUGUUUCCUAUCUUUUGCAAAGCUGGUGUAUCAGGAUUUUGGUAGUGUAAGCUAGACUCCCUGUGAACUGCCUGGCUUCAAAGCAGGUCAGGGUGUGCUGUAAGACUGUUCUGCUUGUCCAGUGCUUUGUGUGACUUCCAGAGGCAAGGUCUUAACUCCCAAUCCUGUGUGCAUAUACACAUAUAAUAUUCUGAGGAAGUUUUCCAUUGUUUUCCCUCUUCCUCUGGGCUUUACUAUGUGCGUGGGUGUUGGUGAGUCCUCCUGAUCCCAUCUAGCUCUCUAGGCUCCCUACAGGGAGACAACAUUGAAGACUUCGAGAAUACAUUAAGGAAACAAGGUAAAUACCUAUAGGCCAUGUUUGUGUAACCCGGUAGAGUCUUUGGGAAAGGACACCCCUUUUCUACACAGACAUUAGGGCACAUGAAGCCUAUAGAGGCAGGUGUUGCCUCCUCUCUCCUAUGUGAGCUACCUAGUAGUGGCAUCAGUAGGCUGGAGUGGGAAUCUGGAAGGUGAUUGAUCCACACUUUCCCGCAGCUCACAUUUUCUCUUCAAGCUCCCUGGAUCCCCCCAUGCUACAGGGCUACCAAAUAGUGGUGUAAGCCAAGUAGUGCUGUGUGUUAGGGUUGUGAGGUAGGCGUGGUACGGAUAGGAUGGGUAUAGUGCAAAGCACUAGAAAGGAGUUAUUGGGGAUGUCACCAGGUUUUAUGGGACUCGUGUUGUGCUUAAGGAUGCUGUAGGUGAUUGUGCAAUGGUGCACUCCACCAUUGCUGUAGUGACUGUGGCAGAAUGCAACCCCCCUCCCUCCUUCAGUAUGGCACAUCUCCCUCUUUCUCUGCUACUUGAGGCUAACAGCUUCUUUUGUUUGGCCCUGAGCACCCUGGCUCCUGGGACAUUAGAAGAAGGGAGUGCCGAGGCACACUGAGCCGCGCCCAGUGUGGGGGAUGUUUGGAGGCUUCAGGGGCACCCACAGACAGUGUGGGGGUGCAGAGAAGCUUCUGGAGUGCCUACAGUCAGAUCUGAUCAGCCAGUAUAAAAACGGGACUCUUGUCGAGACUCCGCCCAUUGUCGCGGGUCUCUCGGAGCACGAGCAAGAUGCUGCCGCCGAGAGCCCCCCUCCCUGGGAUGGGGACUGCGCUUGCCUUGUCGCCACGUGUCAAUUCAGAUCCCAGUAGGAAAAGGCCGAAAUUCCUCAUGAACCACCUUGGCCAGGUCUCAGCCUUCUCACUCAGGGAGGCACUGGGCAUUACCUCCCUAUGGCUGCCUGAAAUCCCUCGAGGUGAAAUUUGCGAACAAACACAGCUUUGGGACCUAUGUGCAUCCUCAAGCAGCAGAGAAACCUGUGGAACUUGCAUUCACAAACUGUGUUUAUUCCAGGAGGCUUCAUACCCUGUGACCAUCAUACAGAAACAAAGACAGAAGAGCACUUUGAGAAUCAGAGAAGAUUUAAGGGUUUGAAAAGUGUAUCAGUAGGUGCUAGUCUGCAAAAACAUACGUGUGUGAGAAAACGGCAGUUAAACUAACUCAGCUAUUAAUACUGUAUUUUAAAGGGAAAUAGAUCUUUUUAACAUCUAAAUAAACUGAGAAAUAUGCCUAGAUGUAAAAAAGGAAUUUCCAGUUUCAAGUGUGUUAUUUCCUGUUAAUGUGAUUAUUUACAGUAUAUCUGUUCCGUGUUUUUUUGCAAAGUAUGUUAUUGACAUUUUAAUGGUAUUUCAGCAUAAGAUUAUGACAGAUGUGAAACAGUCAAACACCAACAUUUGCAAUAUCUUUGACCCCAGGAUAAACUGUUGCACUUCAAAAAAUUAUCCUAUGGUACUUCCAUAGCCUGCUUUCAGUGUUUUGUUUUGUUAAAACAGUAGAGGAUUCAUUGAAUUGGAGCCUGCCAUUUCUUAUUGGCAUUUCUCAGAAGAAUAAGAACAGUCAUCAAUUAUGUAUUUCUCCAACAAAAACAUAUACUCAGUAUAUAAAUGUUCAGAUUAUAAUUCCACCCCAAACAUACAUGUAUCCUAAAUAUAAACCACAAUAAAUGUUAGACUAAGCAAAAAUGAAGAACAGCAAAGAGGGAAAAAAAUAGAAAGGAAACCACAAGAAUAAAAACGCAGGCAUUAAGUAAGAUAAUGGAUGUGAAAAAAGAGCUUACAGAUGAAGUUAAGAGAGCCAGAAAUGAAAUUAUCCACAAAAUCAUUGCAAAAGCACAAUCUAUUAUUAUACCAGGCAGGUGAAAUUCUGAUCACAGUCAUUACAGUCAAGGCAAGCAUCCUGAAACACAGCAAAUAAAACCUGAGGGCUUUUAAAUGUCCAUGAUUAAAGAAAAUUCCAAAUCAUUUCAGUGAUCAUCAAACGAUGAUUUAAAAAUUACAUCAGGCCAGAAUUUUUUCUCUAUAAAGUUUAAAUUAACUUAUGCAAAAAGAAUUGCAAUUUCCUAAAGAAUUCUCCUUUUCUCAGAUUUUUCUGAAGGAAGAAGUAAGACCUGGAAGCUCUGUUUUUGUGAGGAAGAAUCAAGUUAGUUAGGGAUCAGGUUUGUGUUUUGAAUGUCUAUAAAAUGAAGCUGAGGCUCCAAGCUAGACCCGUCUAUAAUUCUGUUGUCCACCAACUAAGAAAAUACAAUUGACCUCUUAGGCAAACCACAACUGAAAUGUAUGAGUCUAAAUAAUUCCUGUAAGUGAAUUUGAACAAACUUGAUGCUUUUUAGUAAAUUCAUUGCAACUACAGGAUUCUGUUGUGUCUUUAAGUAAGCCUGCACAGCUGUCGUAAAGUGCAAUGGAUUGUACAAGUGCAACAGUGGGCAGAGCUGUACUUUCUAUUUUUCAUUAAUUUUUUAAAGCAAAGCCAACUUGUAGUAUGAGUAUGUUCCUUGUUAGUAAUAGCACUACUAUAUUACUUUUCCAACAAAACUUGCAAAAUAUUACAUUACUUUUUGGUCCACUGAACUACUGAACUGCCAGUUCCUAACAGAAAAGAGCUGUAACUGAAUUGCUAGUAAAAGGAGCAGGAAAUUAGAUAAAAGGGUUACACUAGUUUUACAUGCCUAAAUGAAAAGGUGUUAGUUUUAAAUCUAUACCCUUUCAAUAUAUUUUCCAAAUCUUCAAACGUCCCUGACUUUUGUUAUUGAAAUUCUGCAGUAAAUUAGCUCACAGUGUUUCAUCACUCACGUGUUGCGACAGCUUAGUUCAUGCGAUCAGAAAGAAAAUUUCUUAUAACCUGAUAGGCACCAUGGUGUCUUUGAAAAAUAAAAAUCUUACAUGAUUGCAGCAUCA